GGAAAUGGCAUCUCAUCCUCACGUGAUUUGACGGAUUAACAUUUUCAUCAUGAAGAUGAGGAAACUGAGGAAUGGAUGGGCCACAGUUCAUGCAGCCUUUCUAAGCUUCCCAUGGGAGACUUGACAGGUUAGUUAUGAUGCAUCCAUAGAAUGGGCCAUUAAAAAGAGUGAGGUAGAUCCAUAUUCAGUAGAUGUGACAAACUCCCCAAGAUGUGUGUGUGCAUAUAUGUGUGUGUGUAUAUAUAUAUACACAUACAUAUACAGAAAGAGA
rnacentral:lncRNA from 10 species